rnacentral:snRNA from 1 species
GCUUCAGCAGCACAUACACAAAUUAGAACAAUACAGAGUAUUAGCUUGGGCCUGUGCAAGGAUGAUACACAAACUUGUGAAGUGUGCCAUGCUCAA